rnacentral:rRNA from 1 species
AUUGAACGCUGGCGGCAUGCCUUACACAUGCAAGUCGAACGGUAACAGGUUAAGCUGACGAGUGGCGAACGGGUGAGUAAUGUAUCGGAACGUGCCCAGUCGUGGGGGAUAACUGCUCGAAAGAGCAGCUAAUACCGCAUACGACCUGAGGGUGAAAGCGGGGGAUCGCAAGACCUCGCGCGAUUGGAGCGGCCGAUAUCAGAUUAGGUAGUUGGUGAGGUAAAGGCUCACCAAGCCGACGAUCUGUAGCUGGUCUGAGAGGACGACCAGCCACACUGGGACUGAGACGCGGCCCAGACUCCUACGGGAGGCAGCAGUGGGGAAUUUUGGACAAUGGGCGCAAGCCUGAUCCAGCCAUGCCGCGUGCGGGAAGAAGGCCUUCGGGUUGUAAACCGCUUUUGUCAGGGAAGAAAAGGUUCUGGCUAAUACCUGGGACUCAUGACGGUACCUGAAGAAUAAGCACCGGCUAACUACGUG